GCAGAGAGCCUGCACAGGUGCUGCAUGGCUGUCGUCAGCUCGUGUCGUGAGAUGUUGGUUAAGCCCGCAACGAGCGCAACCCCUAUUGCCAGUUGCUAACAGGAGAGCUGAGCACUCUGGCGAGACUGCCGCCGACAAGGCGGAGGAAGGUGGGGAUGACGUCAAGUCAUCAUGGCCUUUAUGCCCAGGGCUACACACGUGCUACAAUGGCCGGCACAGACGGCAGCUUAGUGGCGACACUUGGCAAAUCCUCUAAAGCCGGUCCCAGUUCGGAUUGCAGUCUGCAACUCGACUGCAUGAAGCCGGAAUCGCUAGUAAUCGCAGAUCAGCCAAGCUGCGGUGAAUACGUUCCCGGGCCUU
rnacentral:rRNA from 1 species